GACGAACGCUGGCGGCGUGCUUAACACAUGCAAGUCGAACGUGAUUUUUGUAGAAAUUCUUUCGGGAAUGGAAAUGAAAUGAAAGUGGCGAACGGGUGAGUAACACGUGAGCAACCUACCUUACACAGGGGGAUAGCCGUUGGAAACGACGAUUAAUACCGCAUGAGACCACAGAAUCGCAUGAUAUAGGGGUCAAAGAUUUAUCGGUGUAAGAAGGGCUCGCGUCUGAUUAGCUAGUUGGAAGGGUAAAGGCCUACCAAGGCGACGAUCAGUAGCCGGUCUGAGAGGAUGAACGGCCACAUUGGAACUGAGACACGGUCCAAACUCCUACGGGAGGCAGCAGUGGGGAAUAUUGCACAAUGGGGGGAACCCUGAUGCAGCGACGCCGCGUGAGCGAAGAAGGUUUUCGAAUCGUAAAGCACUGUCCUAUGAGAAGAUAAUGACGGUAUCAUAGGAGGAAGCCCCGGCUAAAUACGUGCCAGCAGCCGCGGUAAUACGUAUGGGGCGAGCGUUGUCCGGAAUUAUUGGGCGUAAAGGGUACGUAGGCGGUUUUUUAAGUCAGGUGUGAAAGCGUGAGGCUUAACCUCAUUAAGCACUUGAAACUGGAAGACUUGAGUGAAGGAGAGGAAAGUGGAAUUCCUAGUGUAGCGGUGAAAUGCGUAGAUAUUAGGAGGAAUACCGGUGNCGAAGGCGACUUUCUGGACUUUUACUGACGCUCAGGUACGAAAGCGUGGGGAGCAAACAGG
rnacentral:rRNA from 1 species